CUCCAAGCGUCAGCUGAGCAAAAAAAAACAUUUGUUUAGAUCGUGACUAAAGGUACCGGGAACUUUGCUGCGGUGACCUGUCUGAUGCUGUGACUGCGGGUGUAUGAAACACAUCCUCUUGGGUAUGGAUGUUUUUCAUAAAUCUUGCAAUCACUUGCAUCAGGUCUGCAAUCUUUCAGCAGGUUCCCUCGCGGAGCUGGGGGUUAGCCAUCAGCCACAUCUAAAGAGGCAGCCUCCAACGUCCGACCGGGGCAGCCGCCGUGAAAUAAAACCGCUUCCUCCAGCCUGUAAGAAUGGGAUCCAGUGAUUGACCAUUCCAACGAGGGACAAUUAAAAUAAUCAACCUAAAAAUAAAAAAGAACUUGCGCAUGGCAGACCACACGUACGACAUUGUUGUCGCUGGUCUGCCGAACGGUGUGCCCAAGUUAAUCCCAACUCCUCCUGUCGCAGAAAGGCAUUAGGAGUAGGGAGUAUAACGUGGCCGCCACGCAGGCGUAAAGGCCUCUAUACAGGGGACCUCCACGCCAAUUUUUUUUUCUUCAUAAACAUCGGCAUAUUGGGGUGUCCCGCAACAAGCAAGUUUGAUUAAAGCUCUCUUAUUUUUGUUCCAAAUUCCUGUAAAUCUGUGCACAAUUGUCUGUUUUUCUUAAAGUUCAUGCGUUCGUUUGUGGGGGUGUCAAAAAUAUGUAACAUUUCUAAAGUAAAUCGCCUUUGUUCAAUUUUUUAAUACAAAA
rnacentral:sRNA from 1 species